rnacentral:tRNA from 1 species
UGGAGUAUAGAUCAGUGGUAGAGCGCAUGCUUAGCAUGCAUGAGGUCCUGGGUUCAAUCCCUAGUGCCUGAA